rnacentral:rRNA from 1 species
CUCGUCAGGACGAACGCUGGCGGCGUGCCUAAUACAUGCAAGUCGAGCGAACAGAAGGGAGCUUGCUCCCGGAUGUUAGCGGCGGACGGGUGAGUAACACGUGGGUAACCUGCCUGUAAGACUGGGAUAACUCCGGGAAACCGGAGCUAAUACCGGAUAGUUCCUUGAACCGCAUGGUUCAAGGAUGAAAGACGGUUUCGGCUGUCACUUACAGAUGGACCCGCGGCGCAUUAGCUAGUUGGUGGGGUAAUGGCUCACCAAGGCGACGAUGCGUAGCCGACCUGAGAGGGUGAUCGGCCACACUGGGACUGAGACACGGCCCAGACUCCUACGGGAGGCAGCAGUAGGGAAUCUUCCGCAAUGGACGAAAGUCUGACGGAGCAACGCCGCGUGAGUGAUGAAGGUUUUCGGAUCGUAAAGCUCUGUUGUUAGGGAAGAACAAGUGCGAGAGUAACUGCUCGCACCUUGACGGUACCUAACCAGAAAGCCACGGCUAACUACGUGCCAGCAGCCGCGGUAAUACGUAGGUGGCAAGCGUUGUCCGGAAUUAUUGGGCGUAAAGGGCUCGCAGGCGGUUUCUUAAGUCUGAUGUGAAAGCCCCCGGCUCAACCGGGGAGGGUCAUUGGAAACUGGGAAACUUGAGUGCAGAAGAGGAGAGUGGAAUUCCACGUGUAGCGGUGAAAUGCGUAGAGAUGUGGAGGAACACCAGUGGCGAAGGCGACUCUCUGGUCUGUAACUGACGCUGAGGAGCGAAAGCGUGGGGAGCGAACAGGAUUAGAUACCCUGGUAGUCCACGCCGUAAACGAUGAGUGCUAAGUGUUAGGGGGUUUCCGCCCCUUAGUGCUGCAGCUAACGCAUUAAGCACUCCGCCUGGGGAGUACGGUCGCAAGACUGAAACUCAAAGGAAUUGACGGGGGCCCGCACAAGCGGUGGAGCAUGUGGUUUAAUUCGAAGCAACGCGAAGAACCUUACCAGGUCUUGACAUCCUCUGACAACCCUAGAGAUAGGGCUUUCCCUUCGGGGACAGAGUGACAGGUGGUGCAUGGUUGUCGUCAGCUCGUGUCGUGAGAUGUUGGGUUAAGUCCCGCAACGAGCGCAACCCUUGAUCUUAGUUGCCAGCAUUUAGUUGGGCACUCUAAGGUGACUGCCGGUGACAAACCGGAGGAAGGUGGGGGAUGACGUCAAAUCAUCAUGCCCCUUAUGACCUGGGCUACACACGUGCUACAAUGGACAGAACAAAGGGCUGCGAGACCGCAAGGUUUAGCCAAUCCCAUAAAUCUGUUCUCAGUUCGGAUCGCAGUCUGCAACUCGACUGCGUGAAGCUGGAAUCGCUAGUAAUCGCGGAUCAGCAUGCCGCGGGUGAAUACGUUCCCGGGCCUUGUACACACCGCCCGUCACACCACGGAGAGUUUGUAACACCCGAAGUCCGGUGAGGUAACCUUUAUGGAGCCAGCCGCCGAAGG